UGAAAAUGGAUGAAAUAAGUUCGUUUUAGUAUAAAGUACGGUAAAAUCUGUGUAAUGGACUUUAUAAGGUCCCCUUGAAACUUUGAAUAAUUGCUGACAAAUACAUAUUCCACUGAGUUCAGAAAAAGCAGAGUGUGAUAAUCGAUAAUGGAAGAAGUUGGGUUCAAAUGAAGUACACUCAAAUUUCACGAUGGAUUUUAUCAGGAUUUUAUCCCAUGAAACUGUGCAAAUCGAUUAAAUAAGUUGGUUUUAGAAAAAUGACAAUAAAAUCUCUGAAAUAUAUUUUGAUAAGGUCCCCUCGAACCUGUGAAUAGCUGUUGCGAAUAAACUGGCUCGGGAUGCUUGCUGUAUAGAUUUAAUAUUGGCAAAGUGGAUGUGAAUAGUUAGAUACCACGAAUUGAUCGAAUAACUGCCACAAAUCAAUGCCUUUACAGUGUGAGACAAGUGUACGGCCAACCUGUUGGCGAAUAUCGUAAGCAUGCAAUGCAAUGCAAUUAAGUAAGUUAACAAUUACGCAUUACGGAAUUCUACGAAGAGGCGAGCCGCAAUGCUGCGCUUGUGCGGGGGGUUUUCAACAUUUGAUGGAUAAUUCCGAAUAUAUUUAAUAAUCGAAUCAGACAGGAUUCUUAGCAUUCCUUAUACGCUGCAAUUACAAGGCAUUAAAUACCGUACUACGUGCGGGUUAUUUUUUAUUGACCGCGAUCGCUCAAAUGUGAAGCACGGCGACUUAUUACUCAUGCGAUAUGAAAGAAACGGCAAACCAAAAGACAAAAAAACCAAAUAUAUAUAUACAUAUAUAUAUAUGUAUUUAUAUGAAACCGACAAAUCUAAACCGUUUUAAACGUGUGUGCUGUGGUACUCGCGUCCAAUUAAAUGCUUUUAACCUUCAAAAAGUAGUACAGGUCUAGCCUCGGGCCGCCGUACUCCCGCUCUGCCACUGGCUUUAGGCCAAAUACCGGAUUACGACGAGGAGUUAAUGCUUAUGUGCCACAAUAUGCCAGCUCAUAAAUCGUUGAAUCUGCCGAUCUGCAUUAAGCGACCAGCGAAACUUUCAAUGUCAAUGUCAAUAAAUCUAUUACGAUUAGGUA